AGUGAACGCUGGCGGUAGGCCUAACACAUGCAAGUCGAACGGCAGCACAGUAAGAGCUUGCUCUUACGGGUGGCGAGUGGCGGACGGGUGAGGAAUACAUCGGAAUCUACUUUUUCGUGGGGGAUAACGUAGGGAAACUUACGCUAAUACCGCAUACGACCUACGGGUGAAAGCAGGGGAUCUUCGGACCUUGCGCGAUUGAAUGAGCCGAUGUCGGAUUAGCUAGUUGGCGGGGUAAAGGCCCACCAAGGCGACGAUCCGCUGCUGGUCUGAGAGGAUGAUAAGCGGCCCGGGAAGUGAGACACGGACCAGACGCCUGAGGGAGGGAGCAGUGGGGAAUAGUGGACAGUGGGCGCAAGCCUGACCCAGCCAGAGCGAGUGGGUGGAGAAGGCCUUCGGGUUGGAAAGCCCGUUUGUUGGGAAAGAAAAGCAGCAGGUUAAGACCACGCUGUACUGACGGUACCCAGUGAAGAAGCACCGGCUAACUUCGUG
rnacentral:rRNA from 1 species